rnacentral:rRNA from 1 species
UGGGGAAUAUCGGACAAUGGGCGAAAGCCUGAUCCAGCCAUGCCGCGUGUGUGAAGAAGGUCUUCGGAUUGUAAAGCACUUUAAGUUGGGAGGAAGGGCAGUAAGUUAAUACCUUGCUGUUUUGACGUUACCGACAGAAUAAGCACCGGCUAACUCUGUGCCAA